rnacentral:rRNA from 1 species
AACGAACGCUGGCGGCAUGCCUAACACAUGCAAGUCGGACGAACCCCCAACUUCGGUUGGACGGUUAGUGGCGCACGGGUGCGUAACGCGUGGGGAUCUGCCCUUUGCUUCGGAAUAACAGUUAGAAAUGACUGCUAAUACCGGAUGAUGUCGCAAGACCAAAGAUUUAUCGGCAAAGGAUGAACCCGCGUAGGAUUAGCUAGUUGGUGGGAUAAAGGCCUACCAAGGCGACGAUCCUUAGCUGGUCUGAGAGGAUGAUCAGCCACACUGGGACUGAGACACGGCCCAGACUCCUACGGGAGGCAGCAGUGGGGAAUAUUGGACAAUGGGCGAAAGCCUGAUCCAGCAAUGCCGCGUGAGUGAUGAAGGCCUUAGGGUUGUAAAGCUCUUUUACCAGGGAUGAUAAUGACAGUACCUGGAGAAUAAGCUCCGGCUAACUCCGUGCCAGCAGCCGCGGUAAUACGGAGGGAGCUAGCGUUGUUCGGAAUUACUGGGCGUAAAGCGCGCGUAGGCGGCGACUCAAGUCAGAGGUGAAAGCCCGGGGCUCAACCCCGGAGCUGCCUUUGAAACUAGGUUGCUAGAAUCUUGGAGAGGUCAGUGGAAUUCCGAGUGUAGAGGUGAAAUUCGUAGAUAUUCGGAAGAACACCAGUGGCGAAGGCGACUGACUGGACAAGUAUUGACGCUGAGGUGCGAAAGCGUGGGGAGCAAACA